rnacentral:rRNA from 1 species
GAUGAACGCUAGCGGCAGGCCUAACACAUGCAAGUCGAGGGAGGAGCUUUCGGGCUUCGACCGGCGUACGGGUGCGUAACGCGUAUACAAGCUGCCUUUCACAUAGGGAUAGCAAGAAGAAAUUUGGAUUAAUACCUAAUGGUAAAUAGAGGUGGAAUCACCUUUAUAUUAAAGCUGAGGCGGUGCAAGAUGAGUAUGCGUUCUAUUAGCUAGUUGGAGAGGUAACGGCCCCCCAAGGCGGCGAUAGAUAGGGGUACUGAGAGGGAUAUCACCCACACGGGUACUUGGAUACGGACCAUGCUCCUACGACACGCAGCAGUGAGCAAUAGUAGGCAACAGUCGGGAGUCUUAUCCAACCAUGCCGAGUGCAAGAAGGCGGCCUUGCGUGAUGUAAGCUGCUUUUGCAGGUGAAGAAUAAGGUCUACGCGGAGUUUGAUGACGGUACUCUGCGAAUAAGCAUCGGCUAACUCCGUG